GGGAAGACCAGUUUCAUUUGUCCAGUUUACACAAGAAAGUCCUUGAUACAUUAGUUGGCGAAUAGUUGUGUCUCUCCAACAAAGAAUGGAGGACAUGCCAAGGGCAGAAGCUUAAGCAACUGAGACAUAAUAAUAGGACUUGUCCUGUUACAUAAAAUGAGGGCCUCUGCAAUCUGGUGCCAACCAGAGGCCUGAACUCCAACUUCAAGAUAGCUUAUUAUAUAAGCACAUUUGAAAUCUGUGAUAGCUUUGAAUUUGAUUUUAGUUCAAACAGUAUCAGUUGAGAUUUGGCUUGAGAAGGAAGACGAACAGAAUUAGAGUGCAUUAAAAAUUAAACCUUUUUAGCAGGAAUUUCAAAUUCAUCCUAAACACAAUAACUUAUCCACAUCCAAGAAUCUACCUCAUCAAAGGAAUCCCAUAUAUUGUAAAGGUCAUCAAAGCACUUUAAACUAACAUCAAAUUAAAAUGCUGAUUACCAGAUAACAAUUCACAAGACAGAACAAUUACAUGUUAUCCCAUAAACUGCAACAGCAAUACUAAGUUUGCAUAAACAUUUUUCACUCUAAAAAACACUUGUCCCAAAAUUAGUUAAGGAGCGAUAGAUGCUUUUCAAAAAAAAUUCCCACAAGUACAAGCCAACCCAUCAUUUAGUUUCCUGCAAAUAACCCAAACCACCCAUAAAAAUUCCUUAUCCCGAUAUUAAACUCAAAACACA
rnacentral:misc_RNA from 1 species